CUGAAAAAUUAAAAUUUGACAUAAAUAAUCAAAUCAAAUUUCCACAGCGUAUCAACUUAAUAAUACAUAAUUAAAAUACAUGUUAUACAUGUGAAAUAUUAAUUUCUAAAGAAUCAAAAAUAACGUUCAAUUUGUAGCUUCCAUACAACUGAAAUGAAUAUUAGAUUUUACUUGUUAAAAACUUUGUUAUGAGAGGAUGGCAGUAUGUGAAAAGAUUAUCCAUAAAGAAAAAGUUGAAAUAUUAUUAAGUUUGUGUUUGGAAAAUAUUAAUUGCUAGGUUGUGCUUGCUAGAUCUAUACUAUUAUUAACGCGAUAUAUUUAAAAAAACUUGGAAGACAUCAUCACUGUCAGGUUGGGUUCCAACUUGAACAAAACUGCUCGAUUCUAUCGACGUCCAUUGAUGGAAAAGUAGGAUCGCUUCCUAAUAUUGUCGAUUAACGUUGAUUCAAUCAUUUUAAUUUAAGUGGAAACUUUAUAUCCUAUUUUUUAAAAAAUUAAGGGAACUGUGGGGUCUUUUUUUGGUCCAAUUAACAUCGUGUAUUGACAACAGACGCAAAUAGCUUACCCGGAUGAUAUGCAUAUGGAGAUAAAGAUUUAUCAAAGCACGUUAGUGUGAUAGUUGUCUACUCAAACAUUCUUACCAAUGGUUAUCUAUAAAUUCAAGCUAUUUGGAUAAACGAGUGUCUUUAACGUCAUUGUCACGCAUAGUGCAACGAGUUUAAAUAUUAGAAAAGAUCGAAAGUAGUUAAUAAAUACUCAAUAAGAAAAAGAAAAGACAACACAAAACAAAGUCGUAGAUAAAAUAGACAGACCAAUAAAACGAAAACGAAAAAGAAGAAGUUGACAAAGAAAACACAAAAGUGAAAGAGAGUAAAGAAAGUGCAUAUUAUAGUACUACCAACAAAGGAACAGAACAUAUUACACAGGAUCCGUAGAAAAUGUUUGGAAAUCGUGCUUAUAAAGAUUGUUUAGGGUCGAUCACACGUGACCCUACCAGUUUUUUAGUGUUUGGGGCGGUAGUGUUGUGUGUUAUAACGCCAGUGUUAAUACUGAGUGAAAUUAUGUGUCUACCGAUGUGCUUUUGGUGUGCUCCAUAGCGGAUGGAAAAGAUAAGACAAUUAUUUAUUUAUUUUAAAGUAGUAAUAACCAUUUGUUAUAUUAUGAAAAAAUGUUUAUAAUAA